rnacentral:rRNA from 1 species
GGGGACAAAGUGACAGGUGGUGCAUGGUUGUCGUCAGCUCGUGUCGUGAGAUGUUGGGUUAAGUCCCGCAACGAGCGCAACCCUUAAGCUUAGUUGCCAUCAUUAAGUUGGGCACUCUAGGUUGACUGCCGGUGACAAACCGGAGGAAGGUGGGGAUGACGUCAAAUCAUCAUGCCCCUUAUGAUUUGGGCUACACACGUGCUACAAUGGACAAUACAAAGGGCAGCUAAACCGCGAGGUCAUGCAAAUCCCAUAAAGUUGUUCUCAGUUCGGAUUGUAGUCUGCAACUCGACUACAUGAAGCUGGAAUCGCUAGUAAUCGUAGAUCAGCAUGCUACGGUGAAUACGUUCCCGGGUCUUGUACACACCGCCCGUCACACCACGAGAGUUUGUAACACCCGAAGCCGGUGGAGUAACCAUUUAUGGAGCUAGCCGUCGAAGGUGGGACAAAUGAUUGGGGUGAAGUCGUAACAAGGUAGCCGUAUCGGAAGGUGCGGUUGGAUCACCUC